UACGUAGGGCGCAAGCGUUGUCCGGAAUUAUUGGGCGUAAAGAGCUCGUAGGCGGCUUGUCACGUCGAUUGUGAAAGCCCGAGGCUUAACCUCGGGUCUGCAGUCGAUACGGGCUAGCUAGAGUGUGGUAGGGGAGAUCGGAAUUCCUGGUGUAGCGGUGAAAAUGCGCAGAUAUCAGGAGGAACACCGGUGGCGAAGGCGGGUCUCUGGGCCGAUACUGACGCUGAGGAGCGAAAGCGUGGGGAGCGAACAGG
rnacentral:rRNA from 1 species